GUGGUAUUGUCAAUGUAGCUCAAGUUUCUGGAACUACUCAGGAUCAUUUGCAAGUAUUUCAUAUUGAAACGAAAACGAAGAUGAAAUCAUAUCAAAUCACUCAACAGGUUGUGUUUUGGAAGUGGAUAACCGCAGAGAUGUUAGGCAUAGUCACUCAGACAUCGGUGUAUCAUUGGUCGAUUGAAGGUGAUGGUGAGCCAAUGAAGGUGUUUGAUCGAACAGGUAAUUUGGCAAAUAACCAGAUCAUAAGUCUAUGUGUCUGAGUAUAUGAUGACUAUUGAUGGCUUUGGUGUGUUUCUAUCAUUAGGAAAAGCCCAUUCAAUCAAAGUAGAGAAGAUAUUGUUCAAGGAAAAGUCAUUAUACCAAGAGGUCUUGGUUUUUGAGGUUUGGUAUCUUCUUCCUAUAUUGUCAUCUUUAAUUCUACCUAUAAUUUAGAAGUCAUCAACAGUUAUCUUCUUUUUACAUUCAUUAACAUUUGGUAACACUGAUAAGGAUAUGAACUUCUUGUAUUUACUGACGAAUGCAUUCGAUCUAAUGAACAAACGGCCAUGAGGCUUCAAAGCGAAUUACUAAAGGCAGAUAUAUUAGUGAUUGUUGAUGUUACAAACAAA